UGCGCUGGUAAAGGGAGGGAGGGAAUGAGGCAAACAAGAAACAUGUAAUCACCCAAACAACCGUCCUUUCCCUCUGGAUUUGUGUCGUAAGAUAGCCUACAGUAUCUACUUCAAAGGAUGCACAGGGGGCCGCGAGACGGUUACAAUGGGACUUGAAGUUUCAGAUGAUGUCCAGUACGCCACGGCUGCUCCAGCCAAUAAACAAGGUGACUAACAAUGGAAGUGGACCAGGAAUGAAGAGAGGGAGACAGGGUAUAACCUCACAACACUCAGCAGGAGAGGGGGGGGGGGGGGG